rnacentral:rRNA from 1 species
UACGGAGGGUGCAAGCGUUGUCCGGAAUCACUGGGCGUAAAGGGCGCGUAGGCGGCCUCCGCAAGUCAGUUGUGAAAUCUCCGAGCUUAACUCGGAAAGGUCAACUGAUACUGCGGGGCUAGAGUGCGGAAGGGGCAACUGGAAUUCUUGGUGUAGCGGUGAAAUGCGUAGAUAUCAAGAGGAACACCUGCGGCGAAGGCGGGUUGCUGGGCCGACACUGACGCUGAGGCGCGAAAGCUAGGGGAGCGAACGGG